UACAGAGGUGGCAAGCGUUGUUCGGAAUUAUUGGGCGUAAAGAGCGCGUAGGCGGCCAGGUAGGUCUGCUGUGAAAACUCGAGGCUCAACCUCGAGAUGUCGGCGGAAACCAUCUGGCUAGAGUCCGGAAGAGGAGAGUGGAAUUCCUGGUGUAGCGGUGAAAUGCGCAGAUAUCAGGAAGAACACCCGUGGCGAAGGCGGCUCUCUGGGACGGUACUGACGCUGAGACGCGAAAGCGUGGGGAGCGAACAGG
rnacentral:rRNA from 1 species